rnacentral:rRNA from 1 species
UACGGAGGGUGCAAGCGUUGUCCGGAUUUAUUGGGUUUAAAGGGUGCGUAGGCGGCCCGUUAAGUCAGUGGUGAAAUCCCAGGGCUCAACCCUGGAACUGCCAUUGAUACUAUUAGUCUUGAAUUCGGUCGAGGUUGGCGGAAUGUGUCGUGUAGCGGUGAAAUGCUUAGAUAUGACACAGAACACCGAUUGCGAAGGCAGCUAGCUAGACCGACAUUGACGCUGAGGCACGAAAGCGUGGGGAGCAAACAGG